CGCGGAGUGGAGCAGUUCAGUAGCUCGCUGGGCUCAUAUCCCAGAGGUCGCGUGGUUCAAAUCCCGCCUCCGCCA
rnacentral:tRNA from 1 species